GCAUAUCAAUAAGCGGAGGAAAAGAAACUAACAAGGAUUCCCUUAGUAACGGCGAGUGAACCGGGAAGAGCUCAAAUUUGAAAUCUGGCGUCCUCCGGGCGUCCGAGUUGUAAUCUAUAGAAGCGUUUUCCGCGCCGGACCGUGUAUAAGUCUCCUGGAACGGAGUAUCAAAGAGGGUGACAAUCCCGUGCUUUACACGAUGACCGGUGCUAUGUGAUACGUUCUCUACGAGUCGAGUUGUUUGGGAAUGCAGCUCAAAACGGGUGGUAAACUCCAUCUAAAGCUAAAUAUUGGUGGGAGACCGAUAGCGAACAAGUACCGUGAGGGAAAGAUGAAAAGCACUUUGGAAAGAGAGUUAAACAGUAUGUGAAAUUGUUGAAAGGGAAACGAUUGAAGUCAGUCGUGUCCAUUGGGUUCAGCCGGUCCUGCCGGUCUACUCCCUUUGGACGGGUCAACAUCAGUUCUGACCGGCGGAUAAUGGCACGAGGAACGUGGCACCCUCCGGGGUGUGUUAUAGCCUCGCGUCGCAUACGCUGGUCGGGACUGAGGAACGCAGCUCGCCUUCAUGGCCGGGGUACGCCCACGUACGAGCUUAGGAUGUUGACAUAAUGCUUUAAACGACCCGUCUUGAAACACGGACC
rnacentral:rRNA from 1 species